rnacentral:rRNA from 1 species
AUGGGCCAAGCCAUGCCCAUUGCUGUGUUGGUCCUCGCAAUGACCAUCGUAGUACUCAAUACCACACACCUGCUCAGCUUGUCACCCAUCCACCUCCUCCUUGUCGGCGUUCUUCCCGCCGUCGUGGCCGCGGCGUACCUCAUGAACCGCCCCCGUACCGUGUACCUCGUCGAUUACGCCUGCUUCCUCCCAAGUCCUAGCUGGCGUUUCCCCAUCUCCACCUUCGUGGAGCACGUCCAGCUGAUGCCCUUCUUUGACGACCCCAGCGUCCGCUUCAUGGCGCGCACGCUCGACCGCAGCGGCAUCGGCAACGAGACCAGCCUGCCCCCCGCGCAGCACCACAUUCCACCGCGCAUCAGUCUCAACGACUGCCGCGCCGAGGCGGAGCAGGUCAUCUUCUCCGCGAUCGACGACCUGUUCGCCAAGACGGGCAUCGCCCCGGACACUGUCCAGGUGGUCGUCGUCAACUGCAGCGUGUUCGCCCCGGAGCCGUCCCUCGCGGACACGAUCGUGCGCAGGUACGGGCUCCGCAGCGACGUCCGCAGCGUGAACCUGUCCGGGAUGGGGUGCAGCGCGGGCGUGAUCUCGGCCGGGCUGGCGGCCGGGCUGCUGCGGGCAAUGCCCCGCGGCCGCGGCGGGCGCGCCCUGGUGGUGUCCACGGAGACCAUCACGCCCAACUUCUACGUGGGCAAAGAGCGCGCCAUGCAGCUCUCCAACGUGCUGUUCCGUGUGGGCGGUGCCGCGGCGCUGCUGUCGACGGCGGCCGAGGACAAGGCCAGGGCGCGGUUCCGGCUGGCGCACCUCGUGCGGACCACCACCGCCGGCGCGGACGAGGGCGCCUCCUACGGGUGCAUCUUCCAGGAGGAGGACGGCGAGGGCAACGCCGGCGUCAAUUUAUCCAAGGAGCUCCUGUCCGUCGCCGGCAACGCCCUGAAGGCCAACAUCACGGAACUGGGCCCGCUGGUGCUCACGCUCUCGGAGCAGCUGCGCUUCCUGUGGUCUCUCGUCGCCCCGCGCAACCUGCGGAAGGUCAAGGGCAGGUGGAGGUGGGUGGUGAGGCCGCGCGUGCCUGACUUCCUCACGGCGGUGGACCACUUCUGCAUCCACUCCGGCGGGCGCGCGGUGAUCGACAAGGUGCAACGGAGCCUCGGGCUGUCGGACGUGCACGUGGAGCCGUCGCGCAUGGCGCUCCACCGGUUCGGGAACACGUCCAGCAGUUCAGUGUGGUACGAGCUGGCGUACGUGGAGGCCAAGGGCAGGAUGCGCGAGGGCCACCGGGUUUGGAUGAUCGCGUUUGGGUCCGGGUUCAAGUGCAACAGCGCCGUGUGGGAGUGCAUCCGCCCCGCGGACCACCCGGACAAGGCGUGGGCCGGGUGCAUACAUCGCUACCCGGUCAGCAAAUAUCCACAGACACGGACAUGA